rnacentral:rRNA from 1 species
GGGCUGCAGUAUUUUGACUGUACAAAGGUAGCAUAAUCAAUAGUCUUUUAAUUGGUGACUUGUAUGAAAGAUUGGAUGAAAUAUAUACUGUCUCUAAAUAAUUUUUAGAAAUUAAUUUUUUAGUUAAAAAGCUAAAAUAAUUUUAAAAGACGAGAAGACCCUAUAGAGUUUAAUAAUUUAUUUUAUUGUUAUUAUUAUAUAAUUUUUAAAAUUAAAAUUAAGUAAAUUAUUUUGUUGGGGUGAUAAAAAAAUUAAAUUAACUUUUUUUAGUUUUUUACAUUGAUUUAUGAUUAUAUGAUCCAUUAAUAGUGAUAAAAAGAAAAAAUUACCUUAGGGAUAACAGCGUAAUUUUUUUUUUUAGUUCAAAUAGGAAAAAAAGUUUGCGACCUCGAUGUUGGAUU